UGGGGAAUAUUGCACAAUGGGCGAAAGCCUGAUGCAGCAACGCCGCGUGAGUGAUGAAGGCCUUCGGGUUGUAAAGCUCUGUCUUUUGGGACGAUAAUGACGGUACCAAAGGAGGAAGCCACGGCUAACUACGUGCCAGCAGCCGCGGUAAUACGUAGGUGGCAAGCGUUGUCCGGAUUUACUGGGCGUAAAGGAUGCGUAGGCGGAUUUUUAAGUGAGAUGUGAAAACCCUAAGCUUAACUUGGGGACUGCAUUUCAUACUGGAAAUCUAGAGUGCGGGAGAGGAGAAUGGAAUUCCUAGUGUAGCGGUGAAAUGCGUAGAGAUUAGGAAGAACACCAGUGGCGAAGGCGAUUCUCUGGACCGUAACUGACGCUGAGGCAUGAAAGCGUGGGUAGCAAACAGGAUUAGAUACCCUGGUAGUCCACGCCGUAAACGAUGGGUACUAGGUGUAGGAGGUAUCGACCCCUUCUGUGCCGCAGUUAACACAAUAAGUACUCCGCCUGGGAAGUACGAUCGCAAGAUUAAAACUCAAAGGAAUUGACGGGGUCAUAGCUGUUUCCU
rnacentral:rRNA from 1 species